CGGACAAUAUACAAGGUGCUGCAUGGUUGUCGUCAGCUCGUGCCGUGAGGUGUCGGGUUAAGUCCCAUAACGAGCGCAACCCCUAUCAUUAGUUGCCAUCAGGUCAAGCUGGGGACUCUAAUGAAACUGCCUACGCAAGUAGUGAGGAAGGUGGGGAUGACGUCAAAUCAGCACGGCCCUUACGUCCAGGGCUACACACGUGCUACAAUGGCCGGUACAGAGGGCAGCUACCUGGUGACAGGAUGCAAAUCUCCAAAGUCGGUCUCAGUUCGGAUCGGAGUCUGCAACCCGACUCCGUGAAGUUGGAUUCGCUAGUAAUCGCGCAUCAGCCAUGGCGCGGUGAAUACGUUCCCGGGCCUU
rnacentral:rRNA from 1 species